rnacentral:lncRNA from 1 species
CACCACGGCCUAAAAUGGUGGAUUAUUCGCUAACAAAGCCUCCUUGAAAAAUGAGGUGAAAUAGUCAAGCUAUUGACUAUAAAGAAGCGCUUAUUGGGAGGCAACCCAAUGUUUGUUUAAGUUUAUGUUAUUUUGGGGUGAUUUUAUGUUUAAAGUAUAUGUUUGAGUUAUUUUGUUAUUUUUCAUUUAUAGGUAUUGGAAAUGAAAGCAAAAGUGACCAAAUGAGGUGAAAAAGGCGAAGUUUGAUCAAGGAACUCAACCCCUCGAUUUGAGUAAUUGUUGUUUUUGAUUCGUUAC